rnacentral:rRNA from 1 species
GACAGAGGCCUCAAGCGUUAUGCGGAAUCACUGGGCUUAAAGCGUGUGUAGGCGGAUCGUUAAGUGUCUUGUGAAAUCCCACGGCUCACCCGUGGAACGGCUGGGCAUACUGGCGAUCUUGGGCCAACUAGGGGCAACUGGAACAAGCGGUGGAGCGGUGAAAUGCGUAGAUAUCGCUUGGAACGCCGAAGGUGAAAACAGGUUGCUGGGGUUGUGCCGACGCUGAGACACGAAAGCCAGGGGAGCAAACGGG